UACGUAGGGCGCAAGCGUUGUCCGGAAUUAUUGGGCGUAAAGAGCUCGUAGGCGGCUUGUCACGUCGGGUGUGAAAGCCCGGGGCUUAACCCCGGGUCUGCAUUCGAUACGGGCAGGCUAGAGUGUGGUAGGGGAGAUCGGAAUUCCUGGUGUAGCGGUGAAAUGCGCAGAUAUCAGGAGGAACACCGGUGGCGAAGGCGGAUCUCUGGGCCAUUACUGACGCUGAGAAGCGAAAGCAUGGGGAGCGAACAGG
rnacentral:rRNA from 1 species